rnacentral:misc_RNA from 1 species
UUAAAAUUUCACACCUAUCAUGUCGAAGCUACAGACCACUUAUGUGGAGGCCAGAUUUGUAGUAUCCUUCCAAUUUUCCAGGUGCUGAAAUACGUGACAUAUUUUUUGAAGGGUAAGAUCGCAUUCUACCAAAUCACACAACACUUUUUUCUAUGAUUGACAGUUCAUUGCAGAUAAAGCAAAAUGCAGUUUUAAACAGUUUGUUUGGGUGUAGUGUAAAUAUAAAUCUGAAAUUGGUACAUAAAUAAAAUUGAUUACCAUGGAAGUAAAACAAGAAACGAGUGAGAAAACUUGUAAAAUAGAAAUAGAUAAUAAUGAGACAUGUGUUGAUUCUUUGGAUGCCUUUAAAAUUGAAAUUAAAGAAGAACCCAAGAAAGAAAGUGCAUAUGACGCGUUUGUUUAUUUAGAUGUAAACACUAAAGUGGAACAAGAACAAGAUGAAUAUAAAUUUACCCCAUUUGAAGAAAACCAAACAACAAAUAAUGAAGAAAAUUGUCACCAAGUGGAAAAUAAAAUGGAAAUUAUGGAAACGUUACAUUCAUCUCAUAAAGAAAAAUGUACAGGUCAACACACAGAAGGAAAAAUAUCAAAUAAAGUUACGGAAGUUCGGACUGGGCAAAGAUCUUACAAGUGUGAAAUUUGUUUUAAGCAGUUUACCCAAGCAAGUAGUUUAAAAACACAUUUAAGAGUAAACACUGAAGAGAAACCAUACAAGUGCGAAAGUCUUAAACAGUUUAAUCAUAAAAGUAAUUUGAAAACGCAUGCGAAACUUCACACUGGAAAAACGUCUUACAAGUGUGAAAUUUGUUUCAAACAGUUUAGUCGAGCACACGCUUUGAAACAUCAUUUGAAAGUGCACACUGAAGAAGUGCCCUACAAGUGUGAAAUUUGUUUUAAGCAGUUUAGUGAAGCAGGUCAUUUGAAAGUACAUUUGAGAGUGCACACUGGAGAAAAACCUCACAAGUGUAAAAUUUGUUUUAAACAGUUUAGUAUAGCACAUAAUUUGAAAAGACAUUUGAGAGUGCACACUGGCGAAAAACCUCACAAGUGUGAAAUUUGUUAUAAACAGUUUAGUGAAGCAGGUCAUUUGAAAGUACAUUUGAGAGUGCACACUGGAGAAAAACCUCACAAGUGUGAAAUUUGUUUUAAGCAGUUUAGUGAAGUAGGUCAUUUGAAAAGACAUUUGAGUGUGCACACUGGCGAAAAACCUCACAAGUGUGAACUUUGUUUUAAGCAGUUUAGUGAAGUAUGUACUUUGAAAAAACAUUUAAGUGUGCACACUGGAGAAGUGCCCUACAAGUGUGAAAUUUGUUUUAAGCAGUUUAGUGAAGUAGGUACUUUGAAAAGACAUUUGAGAGUGCACACUGGAGAAAAACCUCACAAGUGUGAAAUUUGUUUUAAGCAGUUUAGUCAAGCAUGUCAUUUGAAAAGACAUUUGAGAGUGCACACUGGCGAAAAACCUCACAAGUGUGAAAUUUGUUUUAAACAGUUUAGUAUAGCACAUAAUUUGAAAAGACAUUUGAGAGUGCACACUGGAAAAAAAAAGCUCACAAGUGUGAAAUUUGUUGUAAGCAAUUUAACCAAUCACAAAGUUUAAAAAAACAUUUAAGAGUACACACUGGAGAAGAACUUCACAAGUCAUCCUAUUAGAGGUAAAACUCACUAAGUGCACAUUUUUGAGAUUUUGACAUUUUAUUUAUUUAUUUAUCUAGUUAUUUAUUAAUCAUACGGGAAAAGCCCAUUAAUAGUAUAAUUAUAAAGUAAAUAAUAAUAAUAAGUAGCAUCAACACAAUAAAAGUAGUACUCAUGAAAGAAGACAAUGCAAUAAUACAAAUAAUCACAAUAUACCUAAAAUAUAAAAUGUAACAAAUAUAACAUAUAACACUUAAUUUAACAAGACGUAUUAAGGCCAUCGGUACAUAAUUCGCAAAUAUUUUACGGCUAUCUCUACUUUUUCUGUCUUUACACGGCAAAUUACGUGAAGUAAAAUUCUCACUGGUAUGGAUAUGUAAACUUUACUUGACAAUGUCAUCAUUAACUUUAAAGAUGACUUUUGAAUGUUCUUGGAUAACUGUUACUUGUAUAAUUAAUUGCCUUAACUAUUAAUUCAGUUAAUUAAUAUGAUUAUUUCAUUCAUAGGAGAUUCUGACCAAUAGAAAGCUACAGAAAUUAAACUGAUAAUUUUUGAUAAUUUCCCGUCGUCAAGUAUAUUACGUCAGAUGCCCUUCGUUGCUAUGAAAAAAUACAUUCAGUGAUAUUAAUGACAAGUAAUGUUUUAAAAAUUAUAAAAGUGAUUAUUUUCAACCGUAAAAUAUUUAUAACAACUGUGUGUUUAAUUGUACUAAUUUGUACUUACAUAAAUAAAUUACAAUAAAAUUUUGGUUUUGAACAGUUUUAUUCAUGAAAUAAUCGCAACAAAUUGCACUCGAUCUCUAAAAUUAAUAUAUAAUUUUUGCCCUCGUGACACUUCGACAUAAUUUCACUCGCCUUCGGCUCGUACUGUCAAAGUAUCAUUCGGGAAAAAUUCAAUAAUUUUAGAGCUCUUGUGCAAUUACUACUGAUAAUUUUUUUCACUAACUAUGUAUUCAGUGAUUGUAAUAAUUUAUCUACUGUACAACAAAAACUAAUAAUCGAGAAAAGAGGAAAAGUGAUAAAGUGAUAUUUUAAUAAUAUAUUGUUACUAUGAAACGCGUACAAUUUUGAACAUCUUUAACAACAAAAUACUUGGAUCACUGAAUAUUGGGACCGUGCAAGUUCGAAUAAGCGACACCUGGUUUCAUAGCUCGGCAACACUUUUCGCACUUUUAAUUAUAUUGGCCAAUUAUAUUAGUCUGGUUGCUGGAUAAUUGUCAAGUCCAUAGUCCAAAACAAGUUAUAAGAAGAAAAAUUAAUAUUAAGGUUAUGUUAUUAAAAGGUAAACAAUUGUAUGUAGUAAAUAAAAUUAAUUAUUAAAAUGCAGUACUGCAAGCAAAAUACAAUAAAUUAAUUUACUUUUAUAUAAUAAUUUCGUAUCAUAUCAAUAUUGUGGAGCAACAUAUUUUUAUGAAACCCAUAGGAUGUUCUGUGGUAAGAGACACUGAGUGUUUUAUCAACGAAUAUAUAGCCCUAGAAGAAGCUUUUAUAUGAAACAGAUGGUCACCUUUAUAAGCAGGCUUGUUGACGAGGGAUGUUGCGGCCGCAGUGCGGGCGAUGAUGAGAUGACGGUGACUACGGACGUUGUCAGAUCUAUGCACCUCCAUAGCACCUACUCAGUUGGAACGCAAGAUUCUAUGCUAAAACGUUACAGGGCCGUACCCUUCUACUCACUAUAUAUUCUUUGGUUUUAUGAUAGCGCAGGGCUCGAUAGGGAACAUUAAAAUCAGUUUGGCUCAAGAGACUUAGACAUUCAAUUUGUGGGUUAAUCAACUUAUGUAGAAAGAUUGCACCAGAGAUGUCACGAUGUAAUCUGAGAAGAAAUACAGUUUAGUACAGAGAGAGAUGGGAUUCUGCAGUUGAGUAAUCAUGGUUAACUAUAGUUAGAUAAGGUUUGAAUGCGCAGUAACGUAAACAUUUAUGUUGGAUCCUCUCGACCGUAUCGAUAGGUUUUGAUAGUAAGGAGACCAAACUACCCAACAGUACUCCAACAAGGAUCUAACAAUUGAGCAAUAAACCAAUCUCGUUGCUACCACAGAAAAACACUUACAAUUUCUGAUAACGAAACAUAGAAACAUAGAUGCCUUUACAGAAAUAGUAUUAAUGUGUUCUACAAAAGAAAGUUUUUCAUCCAUAAUGACACAUAAGUCUUUAAUGGAAGAAACGCGAUUGAGUGGUUGGUUACAUAUAGAAUAACUCGUUUCAACCCUCCCAACCUUAUGUGUAAAACUUAUGAAAGAGCACUUAUUGGUAUUUAAAUUAAGUCUAUUUUGAACGCACCAGGCAUAUAGACAGUCUAAAUCCUCCUGUAACAAAUCUUGGUCUCUAAUCGUUUCUAUAACUCUCCAGAAUUUUAAAUCAUUAGCAAACAUUAAACACUAUUACGAAAGCAGCAAAUUAUAUCACUAACAAAGAUGUUAAAAAGGAGAGGUGAAGUAUGACCACCGUGAGGAACUCCAGAGCUUAGUUUUAUUUCAUCGGAGAGAUGACUACCAAUCUUCACCCUUUGACUGCGUUUAAGUAAUUUUUUAUCCACUCCGAAAAUUCAGCAUGAAAACCAAACAAGACCAACUUACACAAAAGAACUUGAUGAUCCACACGAUCAAAGGCCUUAGAGAAAUCUGUGUAUAUUGCAUCAAUUUGCUUACGAUCCUCCAUCUGAGUAAGAAGGUCAGACUGAUAGCAUACCAAAUUUGUCGCAGUGGACUUAUUUUUACAAAAACCAUGUUGUGACUCAGAUAGUAAAUAUCGAUAAGACCAAGAAAUUUGCUUAGAUACAAGGCAGUCAAACAGUUUAGGAAUAGCAGAUUGGAUGCAGAUACUACGGUAAUAUUCAACAUUAUCUUAAAUACAGGUACAAUAUAACUUUCCUUCCAGGCCAUCGGAAACGUCGAAGUUUCCAAGGAUUUAUUAAAUAAUAAAAAUAAUGUCACAACAAUCGGACAAACACUUUUUCAACAGGAAAUUUGGGACAUCUGGACCAGUAGUGAGCUUAUUGGAAAUCAAGCUAAUACAAUUAAAAAUAUCAGAAACAAAAAUAGGAUGUGUAUGAAUGCUUACAUUUGAGUUUUUAAUUUCGGAAAUUGUAGGCAAUUGAGAGUGAUUGUUGUUAGGUAUGUAUACUGUCUGAAAGAAAUUCAUAAACAACUUGGCUAUAUCUAGACCAUUAGAAGCUGUAGGUUGCUGGUAAAAUAAGGAAUUAGGUAAAUGAUGACCUGACCCUUUGUCAUUAAUAUACUUCCAAAAGGAUUUAAGGUUAUUAAUUAGGUCUGACUCAAUCCCUCCAAUAUGGUUGUUAGGGGGCGUUCAAGUGUUACGUAACGCGAUUUUUCAAGAUUAUUGACCCCCCACCUGUGUAACGCACCGUAAUACGGCGUUCAAGUAUUACGUAACGCAAUUUUUGAAGAUUUUUGACCCCCCUCCUCCCAACCUGCGUUACGUAAUACUUGAACGGUCCGUUAAAAUAUAUUUCAGAUAAACGUUUACAGUUUCCAUUUAGCUCUAAGACGUGAAAACUUCAUAUACUCAUUGUCAGAAUGAUUUUUAAGAUAAAGAAGGUGUGCAUACUUUUUCACCCUUGUCAAUUUUCUUAAAUCUGAGGAGAACCAUUUAGGAAAGGUAUGUAGAUGUUCUAUAUUUUUUCAGACAUUGAUUAAUAAUAUAAAGUGAUAACAAAUUACGAGCCCUAACAAAUAUAAUAAAAUGGGACAAACUAAAAUAAAUGCAUAAUUCAGAUAAUUUAUUUAUUUAUUUCAAAUGUUUUUCAAUGUUAAAUUAAUGCACAUAUGUACAGUGCACAUAUUCUAAAGGUGCUGGUGGGGGAUGGUGUCUAUUCGAAGUAUUAGAUAUAGACUGUGUAUGGGAGAGAAGUGUUAGAUGCCUUGAUAGUUUCGGCAUACCAGCCACAAGCACUUAGACUGACUGUCGAUUGACAGCUGAUUGAAUUGAUAUUUUAAACUACAUUAUUCUGCUUUAAGGACCGGUUUUUCAGUGGGCGGUUAAAAUUUUGGUUAGCUAACCUAGUUUAAAUUUUAACCAAUAUUUUAACCCUCAUAGCGUUUUUCAGUGCUUUAAAUCAAGUUAAGAAAAUCUUGGUUAGCUCACUACUUUUUUCUUCUGUUGGCAGCAGUAACUGUACGUGCGCAUGUGCAAUUCGAGAAAUAAUGAUUAAUUUUACAGAAAAAUAGAUAAAAGACAAUUUCAUAACCAAAUUAAAAAAUAUAUUAAUGCAAUGCAAUAUCAAGUUCGGAAUCUUUGUUUAGUUCAUAACGUCUACAGCGGUUUCAUAACAGAAGAGAAUUAGAAUUACUGAGACGAUUUAGACUUUUUUCCGAUUUUGUUUGUCAAAUACCACGGUCUUAUCACUAUUUGAACAUAUUGACCAGGAAAUAAGAAGUCAGACUCUUUGGUAAAUAAUUAUGUAUUUUGCUGUGUAGACAAAUAUAAAAUAAUCUGUUUAAAAUAUUACUAGGAAUCAUGCAUUAAAUCCUGUUACAGUAAGUACAUACACUACGGCGCAUUAAAACAACUCAGACAAAAGAAAGAGCACACGAUGCCGAAUAUAAAAGACAAGAAUGGAAACGUACUAACAGAAGAAAAACAAAUAAUGGAAAGAUGGAGAGAACAUUUCAAAGAGCUAACUCAUGCAGACACGGACAACAUAGGGGAGAUACAAGAAAGGAAUGAAGAACAACAAGUGGAAUCCAUAACAAGAGAGGAAUUAGAGAAAGCAAUAGAAAGAGUAAAAUUGGGCAAAGCACCAGGCAAGGAUCAUAUCACCCCGGAAAUGAUCAAAUUCAUGGGGACAGAGGGAAUGGAUAGCAUGAAAGAACUAAUGAAUGAUAUCAUAAAUAGAGCCGAAUUACCAAAGGACUGGAAGAAAGACAUUAUACUACCAAUACACAAAAAAGGAGACAAGCGAAACUGCAAUAAUUACCGAGGUAUCACCAUAUCAAGUAUCCCUGGGAAGGUAUUCGCAAGAAUAAUAGAGACAAGAAUAAAAACCCAAAUAGACACAACUAUGGAAGACACACAGUGUGGAUUCAGGAAGGACAUAAGCACGCAAGACCUAAUAUUCACAUUAAGACAAGUAAGUGAGAAGGUAAUCAAGAAGAAUAGAGAGAUACAUAUGUGCUUCAUUGACCUGGAAAAGGCGUUUGACAGAAUCCGGAGAAAGAACGUAUGGAAGACACUAAAAGAAAGGGGAGUCGACAGACACAUAAUAGAAGUAAUAAAGGAUAUGUACAAAACUAAUACAAAUACGAUAAGAACCAAUAACGAGGAAUCCAGAGAAUUUACUACAAGUCAACGCGUCAAACAGGGAUGCGUGCUGAGUCCACUGCUAUUCUCAGUGGUACUGGAUGAAGCGAUAAAGAAAGCCAAGAGAAGAAUGAGAAAACUAACAUUAGGAUACUGGUAAAUGAAACGGACUCAACUAUCGGAGCUACUAUUCGCAGACGACAUGGUAUUGAUAGCAGAAGACAGAGAAGACCUACAGAACAAUCUUGAAAUCCUAGAAGAAGAACUAUCAAACAUAAAUAUGAAAAUUAAUACAGAGAAAACAAAAACAAUGAUAAUUUCAAAUACGAGGAAGACACACGCAAUAGAAUGAGACGGGAAACAAUUAGAGCAAGUGGAAUAUUUUAAAUACCUAGAAGUAAUAAUCGAAGCAAAUGGUAAACAAGACAUGGAAAUAAACGAGAGAAUGGGACGAACAGGAAGCUUAUUUAACGCUAUGAAAACAACAUUUUUGGGGAAAAAAGAGAUACCGGAGAAAGUAAAAACGGCAGUCGUUAAAUCAGUAGUUAGACCAACAAUCAUGUAUAGCAGCGAGACAUGGACAUUGACGGGGAGACAAAAAUCCAGAGUCAAUGCUAUGGAAAUGAGGUUCCUGAGGAAAAUAGCAAACAGAAAGAGGACAGACAAAAUACGAAGCGAAACAAUUAGACAAAACCUAAAACUGGAACCAAUUAAUGAAAAAAUAGUGGAGGGACAACUUAGAUGGUUCGGGCACGUGUGUAGAAUGUCGAACGAGAGGCUUACAAAACGAGUGUUCGAAACGAGAGUGCAGGGGAAAACAAAAGAGGAAGACCAAGAGUUAUGUGGGUAGAUGAAAUCCGGAAAGAAGUCGAGAAGAAGGGAAUGACAUUGGAAAGUGCAAGGAACCUAACGCAAGAUCGGAAAGCAUGGAGACUACAAUGCCAAACUCAACUCCACCAGCCUUACACCUAAAGGUAGAAAGGCUUAGGACUAAGUAAGUAAGUACAGUAAGUGUAAACAUAGGUAACUGUUACAGUUAUAUUUAAAUAUAUUUCCUUACAAUUCCUUCCUAUACAAUAACGAUAAUAAUUUAUAAUUUCAAUAAUAAUAAUUUCCUUAUAAUAAUAGGGAGGUAUUAGAAUACUUCCCGCGAUGAAAGAAAAUAACAUAACCCAACUAAUGCCUUCUAUCAGGCAGGCAGGUACUCAAAAAAAUAAACAGGAUCCAUUCAUUGCACCAAUGCGCAAUCGUAACCGCAAAAUUCGGAGUUAAACUAUCUAACAAGAAUCGGUCAAAAUCGUGGUUAACUUAAACGAGUUUAAGCUCUAACCUAGUACUGAUUAAACAUGAAUCUUUCGGUGACCAAAAAAUAAAUAGGUUAACUCAGCACUGAAAAACCGGCCCUAAGGGUAGCAAACACCCAAGACUAUUUAACUUGACUAACUAACUGACUCUAUUAACCCGAAUCUAUUCGCGUUCCCUUAUUUAUAAUUCAUCGUUAUGUAAAUAUGUUUGCCCAUAUUUUUUUAUUACUGUGUCAAGUUUAUGUUGUGAUCAUAAACAACCUUGCUGAUGUUUGCAAAACUACAUUGCGUGCACUUUACCUAAGGUGUUCUACUUACGAAGUUAACCGUGUGCUUGAUGUUUAUUGUUUUAUAAAUAAAUAUCUAAUGAUUAAUUUAGUUUUAGGUUAAGGAUUUUUAAAAGAUCUGAAUAAUGAGUUAAAUCCUAUUAUAUUUAAAGUAGCGUUCAAAUUAUUUAGCGGCAUAGGUUAAGCGAUGUAACACAGAAAAUUGGCUGUCCCGUUUAGGAUCCUGACUACAAAUACAUGCUGAAUUAGUGAACCCUCAAUUAUUAAUUUUUAAAUAUCAGCACAUAGCUGACUCUAUAAUACUAUUUUAUUUAUUACAUUCCUGCAUUUCUUCAAUAAUUUUCCGGUUCAGUAAAAUGUUUAUGGUUUGUUUGUAUUUUAGGUUGUCCGCGGGGGGAAAAUAAAAUGACAAUUAUGGAAACAUCAGAUUCACCUCAUAGAGGAAAAUAUACACUUCAACACGCUGAGCGACAAAUAUUAAAUAAAAAUAUGAAAUUUGGGACUAGACAAAGACCUCACCAGUGUGAAAUUUGUUUUAAGCAGUUUAGUCAAGCAGGUCAUUUAAAAAGACAUUUGAGAGUGCACACUGGAGAGAAACCUCAUAAGUGUGAAAUUUGUUUUAAGCAGUUCUCUCUUAAAUAUAAUUUGCGAAAACAUUUGAGAGUACACACUGGAGAAAAACCUCACAAGUGUGAAAUUUGCUUUAAGCAGUUUACUACUACCAGUCAGUUGAAAACUCACUUGAGCAUGCACACUGGAGAAAAACCUCACAAAUGUGAAAUUUGUUUUAAGCAGUUUACUACUACCAGUCAGUUGAAAACUCACUUCAGAAUGCACACUGGAGAAAAACCUCACAAGUGUGAAAUUUGUUUUAAGCAGUUUAACCUAUCAUGUAAUUUAAAAGUACAUUUGAGAAUUCACACUGGAGAAAAACCUCACAAGUGUGAAAUUUGUUUUAAGCAGUUUAGUGAAGUAGGUACUUUGAAAACACAUUUGCGAGUACACACUGGAGAAACACCUUACAAGUGUGAAAUUUGUUUUAAGCAGUUUACCGAUAGAAGUAAUUUACACAGACAUUUAAGAAGGCACACUGAAGAAAAGCCUCACAAGUGUGACAUUUGUUUUAAGCAGUUUAGUGAAGCAGGUACUUUGAAAAGACAUUUGCGAGUACACACUGGAGAAAAACCUCACAAGUGUGAAAUUUGUUUUAAGCAGUUUAGUGAUAGAAGUAUUUUACACAAACAUAUAAAAAGGCACAAUGGAGAAAAACCUCACAAGUGUGAAAUUUGUUUUAAGCAGUUUACUACUAUUGGUCAGUUGAAAAUCCACUUAAGAACGCAUACUGGAGAAAAACCUCACAAGUGUGAAAUUUGUUUCAAGCAGUUCUCUCAUAGAAAUACUUUGAAAACACAUUUGCGACUACACACUGGAGAAACACCUUAAAGCUCAUUUGAAAGUGCACACUAGAGAAAAACCGUACAGUUGAGGCCUAUAGAAUCAACACCUGCUAUAAAAUGCCAGAAAAUGGGAUUUUAUGUCUGGCGACCCACCUUCUGAUGUUUUUUCAUAUUCGCGACCCAUCCCUCACCUCCAUCAGCUGUAAGUGUAAGCCCGACACAUUUGGACCAAUUAGUUCCAUUUUCGCGAAUAAAACUAUCCAAGAGAUCGAAAAUGUUUUAGCCUGUUGUAGUGGUGUUUAGUGUGUGGCAAAAUAACAUUUCUUCUUCAACUGAUCCAUUGAAGCUAAACCUUACUAGGCAUAACAGACUAACUUUCUCAGCAAUAUCUGUACUUUCGUCUAAUUGUAAAAAAUAAAAGUAAUUUUCUUUCAUAGCAGGUAUUAAACUCCUUUACGUUAACAUACAUUUCCUUGAUUCUAUUAAUAUUAUUAGUAUCUUAAAAUACUAUUGUGCGCAGCAGAAGUAUAAUAAAUGUUCAGGAACUUGA